rnacentral:rRNA from 1 species
AUUGAACGCUGGCGGCAUGCUUUACACAUGCAAGUCGAACGGCAGCACGGGGGCAACCCUGGUGGCGAGUGGCGAACGGGUGAGUAAUAUAUCGGAACGUACCCGGAAAUGGGGGAUAACGUAGCGAAAGUUACGCUAAUACCGCAUAUGCCCUAAGGGGGAAAGCGGGGGAUUCGCAAGAACCUCGCGUUUUCGGAGCGGCCGAUAUCGGAUUAGCUAGUAGGUGAGGUAAAGGCUCACCUAGGCGACGAUCCGUAGCUGGUCUGAGAGGACGACCAGCCACACUGGAACUGAGACACGGUCCAGACUCCUACGGGAGGCAGCAGUGGGGAAUUUUGGACAAUGGGCGCAAGCCUGAUCCAGCCACGCCGCGUGAGUGAAGAAGGCCUUCGGGUUGU